GGCUGUAGCUCAAUGGUAGAGUGCUUGCCUAGUAUGUGUGAGGUACUGGGUUCAAUUCUCAGUACCA
rnacentral:tRNA from 1 species